rnacentral:rRNA from 1 species
AUUGAACGCUGGCGGCAUGCCUUACACAUGCAAGUCGAACGGUAACAGGUCUUCGGAUGCUGACGAGUGGCGAACGGGUGAGUAAUACAUCGGAACGUGCCUAGUAGUGGGGGAUAACUAUUCGAAAGAGUGGCUAAUACCGCAUGAGAUCUACGGAUGAAAGCAGGGGAUCGCAAGACCUUGUGCUACUAGAGCGGCCGAUGGCAGAUUAGGUAGUUGGUGGGAUAAAAGCUUACCAAGCCGACGAUCUGUAGCUGGUCUGAGAGGACGAUCAGCCGCACUUGGACCGAGACACGGCCCAGACUCCUACGGGAGGCAGCAGUGGGGAAUUUUGGACAAUGGGCGCAAGCCUGAUUCAGCAAUGCCGCGUGCAGGAUGAAGGCCUUCGGGUUGUAAACUGCUUUUGUACGGAACGAAAAGCCCUGGGUUAAUACCCUGGGGUCAUGACGGUACCGUAGGAAUAAGCACCGGCUAACUACGUGCCAGCCGCCGCCGUAAUAC